CAGCAGCCGCGGGAAUACGAAGGGUGCAAGCGUUACUCGGAAUUACUGGGCGUAAAGCGUGCGCAGGCGGUUAUAUAAGACAGAUGUGAAAUCCCCGGGCUCAACCUGGGAACUGCAUUUGUGACUGUAUAGCUAGAGUACGGCAGAGGGGGAUGGAAUUCCGCGUGUAGCAGUGAAAUGCGUAGAUAUGCGGAGGAACACCGAUGGCGAAGGCAAUCCCCUGGGCCUGUACUGACGCUCAUGCACGAAAGCGUGGGGAGCAAACAGGAUUAGAUACCCCAGUAGUCCCUGUCUCUUAUAC
rnacentral:rRNA from 1 species